rnacentral:rRNA from 1 species
UGACAGGGAGACAGGUGGUGCAUGGUUGUCGUCAGCUCGUGUCGUGAGAUGUUGGGUUAAGUCCCGCAACGAGCGCAACCCCUACGUUUAGUUGCUAACGCGUGAAGGCGAGCACUCUAGACGAACUGCCGUUGACAAAACGGAGGAAGGUGGGGAUGACGUCAAAUCAUCAUGCCCCUUAUGUUCUGGGCUACACACGUGCUACAAUGGCCGGUACAGACGGACGCAAAGCCGCGAGGUGGAGCAAAUCCUAAAAAGCCGGUCUCAGUUCGGAUUGAACAGGCUGCAAUUCGCCUGCAUGAAGUCGGAAUCGCUAGUAAUCGCAGGUCAGCAUACUGCGGUGAAUACGUUCCCGGGCCUU